rnacentral:lncRNA from 1 species
GGAGAUACAUACAAGAGGCACCUGACUAAAACUGGGUAGGAGAGUUAUAUCAGGAGGUGAAAACUGAGCUGAGUCCCAUAGGACUUGUUGCAGGAUACAGUAUGGACUGGAUGCAUAUGUGUGGAGGGAAAGAGAUGGUAGGAGGAUAGAAUUCACUGGGUAUUAUAGAAAGCCUGCCCCAAAAGAACACAGCACAAGUGAAGUCUUAGAAAUGAAAGAGAACUCUUUCAUUUAUGAGCUUUUCCGGCUCUAUAUACAUUCCCAACUGAGAGUGACUGAAGAGAUGAGAGUGGAUAGGAAGCUACUUGUGCCACUAAUUAACUUUUAUAUUAUUCUUUAGGGAAGGACUUGGAGGAGUGGAUGUAGGAAGUGAUGUGCUCAGAUCCUCACAAAGACAUUGGUGAGAAUCAGUUGUAGAUCAGCAAUAUCCAACGAAAGGGUGGUAAAGAGGCACAUUUGGUGUAGGCAAGAAAUAUUAAGGAUUUGAACAAUGCAGAGUGGGCAGUGACAAGUCCUUAGGAGGGAGGAAUCUAUAGACUUGGAGCUGACCGAAUCAGUAGGGAAGAAAAUGGGAAAAAUAAAGAGGGAGAUGCCCUAGUUUCUGUUCUAUAUACCUAUGUGAGAUGCAUGAUUAUUCACAGAGAUCUGAAAAACAGGAAGUGAGGUAGAUUUUUAUAUGGUAGAUAAGGUUUGUUCAGUUUAUGAAAGAUGAGUUUAAGGUGCUACUUAGAUAUCCACAUGGGACUAAUGAGAGUUUGAACUUGGGGAAAUAUCUGGACUGGAUAAAGGAAUUAAGGGUAGUUUCUGCCAUGCCAUGACUAAGCCAGGGUGAGUGUACAGAAUAAAAAGAGGACAGAACUCUGAAGAACACGCACUCAGCAUGAAGAGGGUGAAUGAAUAAAGGAGACAGAGAAGAAACCAAAAAUAAGUGCAGUGUCAGGGGUGGGAAGGAAACCUAGAUAGGCAUGACUAAGAGGCUUUGGUACAGAGGGAGCAGCAAGGACAGCCACUGUGAUUCCCAACAGUUUCUAAUGUUAAUUAAGGUGACAACUAAGUAGGAACAGAUUGUGAGGUUGGAGACUUCAAAUUUGUAGUUCCUCUAUUCUAUGUAUUUGUGUCAUUUCCUGCAUUAGUGCUCCAUAAUUCAGGUACAGGAUAGAUGAGUGGGUAAUCUGAUUUUCCUGUGGUUGAAAUUCUUCCAAAUGUGUCUGAAGAAAGGACAAAGACUUGUUGAUUUAGGCAAUAAGAUGGUUAGAUUGGAAAGGGAAUGAAGACAAAAAGAGAUCAAUUGAGGAGAACUCAGUCACACAUAAGAUUAGAUUUUGUUGAUAUUUUAAAAAUUAAUGGUUGGGUGUGGUGGUGCAUGCCUGUAAUCCCAGCUGUGCUC